GAAUGGGCAUUUUAUUCAUGAAAUAGUGGAAUAGAUUAUCGGAUUUGUUAUUAGUACCACAUCAAUAUGUGCAAACAUGCUGCUGUACUGACACGACAAUGAUAUCUGUGCGUAUUGUAGUAUCUGGGUAUACCUACGUUUCUGUAGAUUGCAGCUGGAAUCCCCUGACACACACUUGGGCAGUACGAUUUUGCGGUUGUCUGGGAAUCUGCCUACGUUUCUGCCUCCCAUUUUGCAGUGCAGAUACGAGGCCCUUGGCUGGAGGAUAUUUAUCUUCUGCAGACAGUUUAAAAAGAGAAAUGUACCGUCCAGAGCUUUCUGUUUUUCUCCUAAACACACCUGGCGUCCCCAGCCAAGCCCCGGCCUCCUGGCAGAGGAUGAGCAGGUUGUUCUCCUGCUUGGGGCAGACAUGAAAGGCAAACUCUGCCAUCCACCAACAAGUUACAAAGGCAGACGAAGAGACAGCAGAGCUCAGAUACACGAGGUGUGAGCGCUUGGGAGAGCGUUUCCCUUCCCUGCAGGGGAAGACAAAGCUCCAGGGACCCCUGGAGCAGCUCUUCCAGGUUCCCCUGGGCUCUCAGGACUGCCUAGCGCUUGGUGCUGCCGCAGAGCACCCUGGAUUUGGCCCCGCUGGUUUAGGAGGCAGGAGGUGCUGUUUGACACCUGCAGAGCCCGAAGCAUCACCCGCCUCUGGAAGAAGAUCAAUAUUGCAGUCGGGCUCAGCUGCCCACUUGCCUCCACAAGGACAAGGGAGAGAUUGGGAGCACGAGCUGGAUUCUCAUUGUUGCACCAAGAAAUCAUCGGCACUCACAGACAGACCAGAGGUGCACAGAUGCCCCCAAAACAUCAGGAUACAAUUUUGCAUGCCAGCUGCUCCAGAAAAGCCAUUUCCACAAGGGUUCUCCUGUAACUGUUUGGAUAAAAAAAUGCUUCCCAGCUGCACAGCCUGGCAGUGGAGGGUCCCUGGGGGUGGAAGGUGCCUGUGUCCCAACAUGCUGAUGGAGCACAGCACCGAGACAGCGCUGGAGGUGCUAUUGGAAAGACCCAUUUAGUAAUGUGGAAAAAGUUUCUUCAUUGUCAAAUUGACAAAGCAGCUUGGCACUGAGAUAAAGAGAAGCUGCCAUACCGACCAUUACCCGGCCGGGAUCGCCGUGCUCCCGUUUCCAUCACAGGCUGGACAAGCUGUGUCUUUAUGAGGAAACUCAAGCUUAAGAGCAGUGUCAGGGAUGUGGCAUGGACUUUUAAGAAAGAACAAGCAGUGCCAUGAAGUCUGUUCUUCCAGAAGUGGUCAUUCUGGGAAACGGCUCGUGGCAAGGGGCACUUACUCCUUUAACUCCUAAACAGCCGGAGGAACUAAAGAGGGUGAAAAUUCACAGGAAUCCUCCAGCCCUGAAGGUUUCCCCUCCCUGGUGGCAGCACGAUCUGCUCUGGAUUUCUCCUGAUGAAGAGCCCGGGGUCUCAAAGCACCCGAGGAACCUCCCAAGGAGCCUGUGGAGCUGUGUCAGGGCGCAGGACGGCUGAGCUGACAGAGUUGCAGUUUGUGAUAUCCCAUUAGCAAAGCCAGAGAAAUUCCCACAGCAGCGCUGAGCAUGCCUGCAGGCAAAGAGAUGCUUGCACCCACCAAGGCUGAGCAAGCACCCGUGGCCAGACGCAGCCAGAACACCACGAGCAAUUUCUGGGUGGUCGGCGUGCACGUACAAACAACGGGCCUUGGCUCGAGCUUUGAGGGCUGGAAAAAAAGUGGCUGGAUUUGCACCUAGCUGUGAAUAUAAGUGCCUCAAAGCACAACUGGUGAGCCUGUGUUCAAGGCGCUGGGGUGGGAGCUCUUGGCAGAGAUGCCAGCUCCUCCUGGGAGCGUUGGAGGAAGACGGAUGUACGCGAGACCAAACAGCCUCCUGUGGGCUGCGUUCAGCUCUAAGGAUCCGGGACUGAGUUAUUCAAAGGCACUUGGAACACCGAGUACGGAUUUUUUUUGUAAACUGUGUUGUGUUCAAAACGCCCUGCAAUAAACGUGUGCAGUAAUCAUUA